rnacentral:misc_RNA from 1 species
GAUGAAGAACGUAGCGAAAUGCGAUAAGUAAUGUGAAUUGCAGAAUUCAGUGAAUCAUCGAAUCUUUGAACGCACAUUGCGCCCGCCAGCACUCUGGCGGGCAUGCCUGUUCGAGCGUCAUUUCAACCAUCAAGCCCCCAGGGGCUUGUGCUGGGGCCCUGCGGCUGCCCGCAGGCCCUGAAAACCAGUGGCGGGCUCGCUAGUCACACCGAGCGCAGUAGCACAUCUCGCUCAGGGUGUGCGGCGGGCUCCUGCCGUGAAACCCCCCACUGUAACCCCAAAGGUUGACCUCGGAUCAGGUAGGAAUACCCGCUGAACUUAAGCAUAUCAAUAAGCGGAGGA